rnacentral:rRNA from 1 species
UACGUAGGGUGCAAGCGUUGUCCGGGAUUUAUUGGGCGUAAAGAGCUCGUAGGCGGUCUGUCGCGUCGGAUGUGAAAACCCAGGGCUCAACCUGGGCCUGCAUUCGAUACGGGCAGACGUAGAGUGUGGCAGGGGAGACUGGAAUUCUGGUGUAGCGGUGAAAUGCGCCAGAUAUCAGGAGGAACACCGGUGGCGAAGGCGGGUCUCUGGGCCAAAUGACUGAC